rnacentral:rRNA from 1 species
UCCGGUGGUUAUUACGAUGAGGCCACACCUGUUCCCAUCCCGAACACAGAAGUUAAGCUCAUCAGUGUCGACAAUACUUGGCUGGUAACGGCCCGGAAAGAUAGAUCGCUGCCGGAU